ACCCAGUGGCGCCCUGGAGGACGAGGUCCACCUGCAGCCGAUUCCCGAGCCCAGGUCGGUCAGUUGGUUUUCAAGUUUCGGCCAGAUCAACAAGUACUUGGAGAAGCUCUUCAGCAACAGGUGGGGUUGAUGGAGGAAUGAGGAGGAGGGGAGGUAAUCUGGCACCCCUGCUUAUGUCUCGGCCCCACGAUCUCUGCAAUGACGUGUCCCCUAGUUCGAAGAAAUUCAAAAACCUCAUGAAACCCUCCAACACCACCAAAUCUGCCCCAUCGAACACCACAGAACGUCCUUACUUGGAUGCCACGAACCCCCUACGGAAAAGCAUCAGCAAACCCCCAACACAGGAACCCCGCGGACGCCUGUCACUAGCCUCCUCCCCAGGCUCCAGCCUGAACAAUAGACAGCAAUAAUGGAACUGACAAGAUGGCUCAGUGGUAAGGGCACUUGCCACUAAGCCUGCCGGCCAGAUUUCCACCCCCAAUCUCAUAAGACAGAAGAAAGGACACGUGUACCGUGACUUGCGUGUGCACACAUGUAAUGCAAACACACAAUGACAAUAAAGGAAUGGAUAAAUACAUUUUUAA
rnacentral:lncRNA from 1 species